rnacentral:rRNA from 1 species
UGGGGAAUAUUGCACAAUGGGCGCAAGCCUGAUGCAGCCAUGCCGCGUGUGUGAAGAAGGCCUUCGGGUUGUAAAGCACUUUCAGCGGGGAGGAAGGCGAUAAGGUUAAUAACCUUGUCGAUUGACGUUACCCGCAGAAGAAGCACCGGCUAACUCCGUGCCAGCAGCCGCGGUAAUACGGAGGGUGCAAGCGUUAAUCGGAAUUACUGGGCGUAAAGCGCACGCAGGCGGUCUGUCAAGUCGGAUGUGAAAUCCCCGGGCUCAACCUGGGAACUGCAUUCGAAACUGGCAGGCUAGAGUCUUGUAGAGGGGGGUAGAAUUCCAGGUGUAGCGGUGAAAUGCGUAAAGAUCUGGAGGAAUACCGGUGGCGAAGGCGGCCCCCUGGACAAAGACUGACGCUCAGGUGCGAAAGCGUGGGGAGCAAACAGG